rnacentral:rRNA from 1 species
UACGGAAGGGGCAAGCGUUGUUCGGAAUCAUUGGGCGUAAAGGGCGCGUAGGCGGCUUUGUAAGUCGGAUGUGAAAGCCCAGGGCUCAACCUUGGAAGUGCAUCCGAAACUGCGGAGCUUGAAUCCCGGAGAGGGUGGUGGAAUUCCCAGUGUAGAGGUGAAAUUCGUAGAUAUAGGAAGGAAUACCAGUGGCGAAGGCGGCCUCCUGGAUCGAUACUGACGCUGAGGCGCGAAAGCGUGGGGAGCAAACAGG